rnacentral:rRNA from 1 species
GCUAACUUGGGGCCAGAGGCCGGGGUAAUAAGAAGGGUGAAAGGGUUACUCGGAAUUACUGGGCGUAAGGCGUGCGUAGGUGGUUGGUUAAGUCUGAUGUGAAAGCCCUGGGCUCAACCUGGGAAUGGCAUUGGAUACUGGCAGGCUAGAGUGCGGUAGAGGGUAGUGGAAUUCCCGGUGUAGCAGUGAAAUGCGUAGAGAUCGGGAGGAACAUCUGUGGCGAAGGCGACUACCUGGACCAGCACUGACACUGAGGCACGAAAGCGUGGGGAGCAAACAGGAUUAGAUACCCCUGUAGUC